AGAUAGGAAAUUCAAUUUUUUUUUAUGAUUAUGCUUGGGUUUAUCGUUCAUUUACUAUUUCCUUCCAUCGUUUAGUUUAUCUAUGAAUUUUUAGUUACAUUAAAACGUUAACUCACAUUCUAGCUAAUCAUU